rnacentral:misc_RNA from 1 species
AAGGAUCAUUGUCGAUGCCUCGCAAUCAGUUUGACCCGCGAACAUGUUUAUCUAACCGGCAGGGUUGGCUCGGGGCGUCGACGCCUCGGGUCCUCCCCUGCGCCGGGAGGCGGCCGCGCCCUGCUCGGCUUCCUCUCGACACACUCAAACCCCGGCGCUUCGUGCGCCAAGGAAUCCAAAAUCGUUCAGCGCGGCCCGAGGGACCCGGAGACGGCGUUCCGGCGGGCCUGGUCGCGAGACACCAAAAAGAAUGACUCUCGGCAACGGAUAUCUCGGCUCUU